CACAAGGUUCUGAGUGUAUCUGGUGAAGCAAAUCAGUUCCUUAGCCUAUGUCAGCAUGCUGCAGCUAUUCCAGAGCAUCCAGGAGGGAUAAAAUGUCAACCUGUAGCCAUACCCAGCUGCAGAACCUGCCUAGCUUCUCCUGGCAUCUCUAGUUGCUCCCUUUGCAGAUCAUUGUCUGGCAGUGUUAUAACAGCAGGCGCUCUGGAGAUUUUCAGUGGUAGAGCUGGAACAGAUAAUGACAGCACUUCGUUCUUGCAGGAUUACAUUCCACUUCCCGUCAUGGAGAUUACUCCUAUAUAUAUAUUAGAUGUGAGAUGGAGAAUGUAGGUAUAAAACUGCUUUGCUUUAAUGAAUAGUCAUUUUAUCCUGGGCACUAAAAUGAGAUAUAUUUCUUUAAAUUUAUCUCUUGGGAUUAUUUUUAUUUCAUGGGCAAACCCCGUGUUACCAAAGACUUAGAACGCUAUUAAACUUUUAAAUAAUCUUGUGUCGCCUCAUUCUUGCGAGUGCUUGAACUCGUCCUCUCUUUGAUAGCAACUAAUUAAGCAAAAUAUCGUGCUCUUUCUGCUCUCCUCCACGUCCUUGAUUAGAGGGUUAACACUGUGUUAUCACGGGUAUUAGAUGUUCUUUACUAAACCCUAAGAAUCCAGCAGCACCGAACUCCCCGUGCUUCAUAGCAGAUUUCUGUCACCUUCAGAGGAUUAAAUUCUCCAUGCCGAUCAUGGUGGCAUGUACCAUCUCCCAUUCUGCAGCUGUUUUUUUUUCUUCUCCUCUAGCUCAUUUAAAGGCUAUUCUUACAAAGCCUAGGUGACUUCAUCUUUGUGUAUUAACGU
rnacentral:lncRNA from 1 species